rnacentral:lncRNA from 1 species
CGGCAGGGUGACCUCUGCUAAGGAUCCCAGGACAGUGUUUUCUUGUGAGAAAAAGGACAAGGGUGUGAGGGAAUCUGCCCAGAGGGUAGAACCAGCCUCUACAGUUCUGCUAGGGCCAGACUCCUCCUGAAGUUCAGGAGGAUGGCUGCAUAGAGGAACUUGGUGGAAAAGGGACAUUUUGGCAAAAAAAAAAAAAAGCUGAGUCAGGCCCCCCUGGGACCUCAGUGAAGGAGCCCUUUUCUGCCCUCACCCAAAAGAACCCCCACCCAUCCCCCACUUCUCACUGAGGAGGUGGAGGGGCGACAAGGGACUGGACAAGACGCCCCGCAGACUCUCCAGCCAUUCUCGCUGUUCCUUUUCAGUGGGGCAGGUGAAGAUGAAUUUCCGCUCCGGAGUGAUGACGAAAAACCUGGCCCUGCUCAAAAGCAUCCUGAAAAUGGAAGGCAUAGAGUCAUCAGAGGCUGCCUUGGGGCAGGAGAGCCCUUGCAGCCGGGCCCGUCCCAAGGUCAAGUUUGGUAAAGAGGUGUACGUGGUCCAAAGGUUAGGACUGAAUGGCCUGGUCCCAGGAGUGACCUAGAACUGUACAUCUGACCCAAACAGGUCACCUGGAGCUCUGGGUUGCUCUGGGCUGCAUGGGCCAAAGGGAGCGAAAGUUAGAGACUGACUGGAAGCCCUCUCUGGGCCAUGCUGGGCAGCACAGCAUGCACCUGCAAGUGGAUUUGCUGCCAGCUGCAGGUAGAAGUCAGCCUGAGAGAAAGAUGGCUGACAAGAGCCAUGAGAGUAUAGACCCUGUCAUGCUUGAGCCCCUGGUGUGCCUUCUCCAUCCUUUUCCUUGGUCAUAUUUGAGCUUCUGGUAUCAUGAUCCUCUUCUUCAUCCUCUCUCUUGUUUCUUCUUUU